UACAGAGGGUGCGAGCGUUAAUCGGAAUUACUGGGCGUAAAGCGUGCGUAGACGGUUAUUCAAGUCGGGUGUGAAAUCUCGGAGCUUAACUCCGAAACUGCAUUCGAUACUGCCGUGCUUGAGGACUGGAGAGGAGACUGGAAUUUACGGUGUAGCGGUGAAAUGCGUAGAUAUCGUAAGGAAGACCAGUGGCGAAGGCGGGUCUCUGGACAGUUCCUGACGCUGAGGCACGAAGGUCAGGGGAGCAAACGGG
rnacentral:rRNA from 1 species